rnacentral:tRNA from 1 species
GCUAUCGUGGUAUAAUUGUUUAACACAUCCACCUAGUGAUUGGAAGAUUCAUUGUUCGAAUCCUGACGAGGGCA